rnacentral:rRNA from 1 species
GGUUGCCUACGGGACGCAGCAGUGAGGAAUAUUGGUCAAUGGCCGAGAGGCUGAACCAGCCAAGUCGCGUGAGGGAAGACGGCUCUACGGGUUGUAAACCUCUUUUGUCGGGGAGCAAAGCGAACCACGUGUGGUUCAUUGAGAGUACCCGAAGAAAAAGCAUCGGCUAACUCCGUGCCAGCAGCCGCGGUAAUACGGAGGAUCCGAGCGUUAUCCGGAUUUAUUGGGUUUAAAGGGAGCGUAGGUGGAUUGUUAAGUCAGUUGUGAAAGUUUGCGGCUCAACCGUAAAAUUGCAGUUGAAACUG